AUGGAUUACAAAAUUCUGAACUGGAAUAUCAGGGGUUUAAACAACCCAGCCAAGAGAAGAGCAACGCUAAUUUUUGUGGCUCAAAUUGGUUGCAACAUAGUCUGUCUGCAAGAAGUAAAACUAGCAGCGAUUACCCCUGCUAUCGUGACUGAAAUUUUGGGCGCUCGGUUUCGAGAAAAUUUCAUCUUUAAGCCAGCUGUGGGCACAAGAGGAGGAAUUCUUAUCGCUUGCUCAACCGAUUUUGAGAUCACCCAUGAGCCGCUUGCUGAUGGGCCAAAUUCAAUCAUUGGGACUGUGAGAGACAGAACUAAUAAUGAUGCUUGGACCCUUUCAGCAGUCUACAGACCUCAAGAAGUCUCCGACAAGAUCUCGUUCAUUGAAGAAAUCAAGAACAUUAAGCAGUUUGCCUUGGACUGCUGGAUGGUGACUGGUGAUUUCAACCUAAUCAAGAAGGCUGAUGAAAAGAGCAAUGGUAAUAUCAAUUUGCAAAUGAUGGGCCGAUUCAGAUCUGCUUUGGAUCAACUUGAGCUGCUGGAAUUCCCCUUGCUUGGGAGAAAGUUCACUUGGUCAAACGAAAGGGAAAACGUCACUUUAACCAAGAUUGAUAGAGUGCUGGUUACUGAAGCCUGGGAACUGAAAUUUCCAAAUUAUCAGCUCACUCCAGCCUCGACAUCCAUCUCUGACCACUGCCCGCUGGUUCUCAAGCCAAUGGAUCUGCAACACUUCAAAGGUUUCCGCUUUGAAUCCUUUUGGCUUGCAAAGCCUGAUUUCCUUGAGGUGGUGACCAAGGCUUGGGAGAAACCUGUUCAAUCUGCAGACCCUUGCAGAAAGCUCCACACCAAACUGUCCAGAACUGCCAAAGCACUAACCAAAUGGAAUAGAAAGGCUUCCAAAAGAUCUCGGUUGAUGUACAACAUUGCAACUGAAUUGAUCUUCCACUUUGAUCUUGCCCAAGAAGAAAGAGCACUAACCAAAGAAGAAAGGAAUUUAAGAGAUCUGCUGAAAAAGAAACUGUUGGGUUUUGCAACUAUUGAGAGGAUCAAGGUUCGGCAAAGGUCUAGGCUAACUUGGAUUAAAGUUGGAGAUGCCAAUUCAAAACUCUUCUAG
rnacentral:rRNA from 1 species